GCCAGAGCGACUUCUACUUCAGGCAGUAAUGUUGACCAAAGCCAGGACGAGGAUACUCUCUACAGCCUGACAGGCAGAUUCUUGCUGUUCUGAGUCCUUGGAUGCAAGGAACGGAUGAUUCUCGUCUUUGACAAGAACAAGCACCAGAGAAGAAAAAGAAAUAUUUAAUUUCAGAGAGCCACAAGGGACCUUAGAAGUCCUCUGUGUAGCCAAAGACUUUCAAGUGGUGUGAUUCAUGUCUACCAGCUGUCGGGGUGCAGAGGCUUCUUUGAUUUCACUUCCCAUGGAGCCCCAGCACCACACCAAGUGCCUAGAGCAUAGCAGACCCCAGUAAUAACAAGGAUGCAGGAAAAAAAGCUGUGUAGGUGCCACACCCACUCCAGUGAAGACUGUGUGGCAGGCCCAAAAGCUUGGACGCAGUCCGGAGGCAAAAAUGUUUCAUGGAAACGUAGCAUCCUGGAACCUUGGCAUCCAAGGUUCCCAUAGCAUGAAUGCUCCAAAUGUGUCCCUGCAAUAGUGUGGAGGAUCUUGCAUGCUUUCUUGCAGUAUUUUACUGGAUAGGGGCUUGAAAUCUCAGGGCAAGCUUAGCAAAGUAUACUUAGAAUUCUCAUUACAGACAUGAAUGGCAGCCUACAUUACAUAAUAGUAGAAAAAAGGUGUUUUGUGGUUUUAGGAGGAACUGAAGUAUUGUAUUAUUCAUGAAAGGGUACAGAAUUCCCCUGGUGCAUGUUUUUCACUAGGCCCAGAGGAAUAGCAUAAUCAGGUAUUUACUAAGGGACCCCUGGUGGUGGGUUUAACAAUAGAUUAGCAAUGCAUCAGACCUUUCACCUGGCUCCUGUGAAUAACUGAUUUUAGAUAGGGUUGUUCCUAUCUUAGUUGUAAAUACUGCCUGGCUCCCGUCAUCUUUUUAUGUAUGCAUUUUCUUUGUUUUGUGUAAAGAACCAUUAUGCAUCUCGAUGUACCUUGGCUGAUGUAUCCCCUAGCUUUCUUGUUUCUCUUCUGUAAUUUAAGUCUGGUGCUCGCUUUGAGACAUUACAAUCAGAUGCAGCAUUC
rnacentral:lncRNA from 1 species